UUUCCGUAGGUGAACCUGCGGAAGGAUCAUUACAGAGUUCAUGCCCUCACGGGUAGAUCUCCCACCCUUGAAUAUUUAUACCUUAGUUGCUUCGGCAGGCCGUGGAAACACCAUGGGCUCCGGCUUAUGCGUGCCUGCCAGAGGAAACAAACUCUGUUUUUAGUGAUGUCUGAGUACUAUAUAAUAGUUAAAACUUUCAACAACGGAUCUCUUGGUUCUG
rnacentral:misc_RNA from 1 species